rnacentral:rRNA from 1 species
UUUGAAAUUAAAAAUUUAUUGUUUAAUAUUUAUUUUUUAAUUUUUAAUAAAAAUAAUUUUAAUUAUUAAGUUUUUAGUAUAUUUUAUAGAAAAAAAGUUAUUUAUUAUAGUUUAAUUGUAUUGUAAAAGAUAAUUGAAAUAUUUUAUAAUUAUGAAUAAGUAAAAUUAAUUUUUUGUACCUUGUGUAUCAGGGUUUAUUAAAUAAAUAUUAAUAAUUUUAAUUUUCUCGAUUUUAAGAGAGCUAAUAAAUUAUUUUUUUUAUUGUAAAAAAAAUAUUUAUAAUAAUUUAUUGGUAAUGAAAUGUUAUUCGUUCUUAAAUAUAUCUAGUUUAUUUAGAAAUGAAUUUAAUUCAGAUAUUUUUAUUUUAAUAAAUUAAUUUAUUAAUUUAUUAUAUUCUAAUAUUAAUAAUUAAAGGGAUUAGCUUUUAAUUAAAUUUUUAUAAAUUAAAUAAAAUAUUUUAAAAAAUGUAAGUUUAGAAAUAGCUAUCAAUAAUAAUUUGUUAUAAUUAAUUUAAUUUUUAAUAUUAUUUUAUAUAAUUUUAAGUUUUUUAUAAAUAAAUAAUUUUUAAUUUAAUAUAAUUAGGUAUAAUGAUAAAAUUAGUAUAUAUUAAAUAUUUAAAUAAUAAUAUUAUAAAAGAUUAUUUAAAGGAAUUCGGCAAAAAUUUUACUCGCCUGUUUAACAAAAACAUGUCUUUUUGAAUUGAAUUUAAAGUCUAGCCUGCCCAAUGAAAUUUUUAAAUGGCCGCAGUAAUUUGACUGUGCAAAGGUAGCAUAAUCAUUAGUUUUUUAAUUAAAAGCUUGUAUGAAAGGUUGGACGAAGUAAAUUCUGUCUCUAUUUAAUUUAGAUUAGAAUUUAAUUUUUAAGUUAAAAAGCUUAAAUUUUAGUAAAAGACGAGAAGACCCUAUAGAGCUUUAUAAUUUAAUUAAUAUAAUUAAUUAAGAUUUAUUUAAGUUUUAUUAAUUAAAUUAUUUUAUUGGGGUAAUAAGAAGAUUUAAGAAAUUCUUUUUUGUUAUUAACAUUUAUUUAUGGUAUAAAUGAUCCAUUUUUAGUGAUUAUAAGAUUAAGUUACCUUAGGGAUAACAGCGUAAUUUUUUUAGAGAGUUCAUAUCGAUAAAAAAGUUUGCGACCUCGAUGUUGGAUUAAAGAUUAGUUUAGGUGUAGAAGUUUAAAUUUUUGGUCUGUUCGACCAUUAAAUCUUUACAUGAUCUGAGUUCAGACCGGCGUAAGCCAGGUCGGUUUCUAUCUUUAUUAAAUUUAAAUAUUUUAGUACGAAAGGACCAAAUAUUUGAUAUAUUUAUAUUUAUUAUUUUGAAUCUUAUUGUUAUUUUGGCAGAAUAGUGCAAUGAAUUUAGAAUUCAUAUAUGUAAU